CGCUUAGGCCACACCACAUUGAAAGUACGCCAUCCCGUCCGAUCUGGCCAGUUAAGUAACGUUGGGUGGUACUGGUUAGUACUUGGAUCGGAUUAUUGGAAAUGCUAACAACAAUUGUGC
rnacentral:rRNA from 1 species